rnacentral:rRNA from 1 species
UACGAAGGGGGCUAGCGUUGCUCGGAAUCACUGGGCGUAAAGGGUGCGUAGGCGGGUUUUUAAGUCAGGGGUGAAAUCCUGGAGCUCAACUCCAGAACUGCCUUUGAUACUGAAGAUCUUGAGUCCGGGAGAGGUGAGUGGAACUGCGAGUGUAGAGGUGAAAUUCGUAGAUAUUCGCAAGAACACCAGUGGCGAAGGCGGCCAACUGGUCCGGUACUGACGCUGAGGUGCGAAAGCGUGGGUAGCAAACAGG